GAUUAUGGCUCAGGACGAACGCUGGCGGCGUGCUUAACACAUGCAAGUCGAGCGGAGAAUAUAGCAAUAUAUCUUAGCGGCGGACGGGUGAGUAACGCGUGGGCAAUCUGCCUCAUACAGGGGGAUAACACUGGGAAACUAGUGCUAAUACCGCAUAAAAUAGUGAAGUGGCAUCACUUUACUAUCAAAGGAGCAAUCCGGUGUGAGAUGAGCCCGCGUCCGAUUAGCUAGUUGGAGGGUAACGGCCCACCAAGGCGACGAUCGGUAGCCGAACUGAGAGGUUGAUCGGCCACAUUGGGACUGAGACACGGCCCAGACUCCUACGGGAGGCAGCAGUGGGGAAUAUUGCGCAAAUGGGGGAAACCCUGACGCAGCAACGCCGCGUGAAGGAUGAAGGUUUUCGGAUUGUAAACUUCUUUGAUUGGGGACGAUAAUGACGGUACCCAAAAAACAAGCCACGGCUAACUACGUGCCAGCCGCUGC
rnacentral:rRNA from 1 species